rnacentral:rRNA from 1 species
CGGACGGGUGAGUAACACGUGGGUAACCUACCUAUAAGACUGGGAUAACUCCGGGAAACCGGGGCUAAUACCGGAUAAUAUUUUGAACCGCAUGGUUCAAUAGUGAAAGACGGUUUCGGCUGUCACUUAUAGAUGGACCCGCGCCGUAUUAGCUAGUUGGUAAGGUAACGGCUUACCAAGGCGACGAUACGUAGCCGACCUGAGAGGGUGAUCGGCCACACUGGAACUGAGACACGGUCCAGACUCCUACGGGAGGCAGCAGCC